rnacentral:rRNA from 1 species
GCGCCUACGGGAGGCAGCAGUAAGGAAUAUUGGUCAAUGGACGCAAGUCUGAACCAGCCAUGCCGCGUGAAGGAUGAAGGUCCUCUGGAUUGUAAACUUCUUUUAUAGGGGGCGAAAAAAGGUCUUUCUAGAUCACUUGACAGUACCCUAUGAAUAAGCACCGGCUAACUCCGUGCCAGCAGCCGCGGUAAUACGGAGGGUGCAAGCGUUAUCCGGAUUCACUGGGUUUAAAGGGUGCGUAGGCGGGUAGGUAAGUCAGAGGUGAAAUCCUGGAGCUUAACUCCAGAACUGCCUUUGAUACAAUU